CCUGAUAUAGGGUGUUGAUGUCAUUAGACCACACCCCUUCUCAUUACAGAGAUGCACAUCACCUAAUAUGCUUAAUUGGUAGUAGGCUUUCGAGCCUAUACAGCUUGGAGUAAGACAACAUGCAUAAAGAGGAUGAUGUGGUCAAAAUACUCAUUUGCCUAAUAAUUCUGCACUCCCUGUAUAGCUGUGUAGCUCUUACAAUAGCUAGUGGUUAUAGCUUGUAUAGCAGGUCCCUAUAAACAUGAGGCAAGGCUCUAUGUUGAGGGUAAAGCUGGAACUGAUAUUAAUGGUGCCACACGUGGCCUUUUAUGACAAUCCCUAUGCAAGGGGCACUCCCAAAUGGACCUUGUGGGGAACUACGGUACAAAGUCACAGACCAAUAAUAACAAUGUUACAAUGCAUGACACUCCCACAAACAGCAUACAAUCCCUCCCCUCUGUCUGGGAGAUAAUGGAGUCAGAUACUGUAUUAACUCAAUUAUCUCAUUAUUAGGAUCAGGGGGUUAUGGGUAAUUAGAUUACAUUGAUGGGGAGGAGGAGCAGGGGGAUAUGGG